rnacentral:rRNA from 1 species
GACGAACGCUGGCUGCGUGCCUAAUACAUGCAAGUCGAACGAGCGGCGGACUGGUGAGUAAUGUAUGGGGACUUCCCGAUCGCGGGGGAUAACUACUGGAAACGGUGGCUAAUACCGCAUACUAUCGGAUAACCCAUAUGGGAUUAGCUAGUAGGUGGGGUAAAGGCUCACCUAGGCGACGAUCUCUAGCUGGUCUGAGCGGAUGAUCAGCCACACUGGGACGGAGACACGGCCAGGACUCCUACGGAGGCAGCAGUGGGGAAUAUUGCACAAUGGGCGCAAGCCUGAUGCAGCCAGGCCGCGUGUAUGAAGAAGGCCUUAGGGUUGUAAAGUACUGUCAGCGGGGAGGCGUUACCCGCAGAAGAAGCACCGGCUAACUCCGUGCCAGCAGCCGCGGUAAUUC